rnacentral:rRNA from 1 species
GACGAACGCUGGCGGCGUGCUUAACACAUGCAAGUCGAACGCUGAAGACCUGGCUUUUGUUGGGUUGGAUGAGUGGCGAACGGGUGAGUAACACGUGAGUAACCUGCCCUCUUCUUUGGGAUAACGCCCGGAAACGGGUGCUAAUACUGGAUAUUCACUGAUCUUCGCAUGGGGGUUGGUGGAAAGGUUUGUUCUGGUGGGGGAUGGGCUCGCGGCCUAUCAGCUUGUUGGUGGGGUGAUGGCCUACCAAGGCUUUGACGGGUAGCCGGCCUGAGAGGGUGACCGGUCACAUUGGGACUGAGAUACGGCCCAGACUCCUACGGGAGGCAGCAGUGGGGAAUAUUGCACAAUGGGCGAAAGCCUGUUGCAGCGACGCCGCGUGAGGGAUGGAGGCCUUCGGGUUGUAAACCUCUUUCGCUCAUGGUCAAGCCGCAACUGUGGGUUGUGGUGAGGGUAGUGGGUAAAGAAGCGCCGGCUAACUACGUG